rnacentral:lncRNA from 1 species
AAUGUCCAAUCAUUCUAUAUUUAUGGCAAGAACACAUCUUUGAUUUUUAUUUUCUACUAUAAUUAAUAGUAGAAUCGUUUAUUCUUUCUAUAUGGAUAGAAAUGGUCAUGACUAUAAUUGCCCUAAUACUUAUGAGUAUAUUUCCCAUGUUUAUAUAAUUUUGCUUAAACUUUGAAAUAUUAAGUCCAUAAGAUUUUGGAACUAUGGUUCCAAUAGGACGAGCUAUCACAUUGCAUAAGAGUAGAUUAUUUUGCUUCUCCACAAGAAGUAGAUAGGACAUGAGAUCAGAAUGACUUUG